UGAGCUCAAUGAAGCCAAAACAUGUGCGUCCAGGCUUAAUUGGUUGCACAAAGACCAAACCAGGAUGAGCAGACACGGAUUCAUUAAGCCAGGUGAAACCAAUCCUGGAUAGGUGCGCGCUCACGGCUCACUCAAAUAGACCCCGCCACAGAUCACAGAUUAACUGAUUUACCAUGGCAACUAGAGCCGCGUACUUUUCCCCGUCGGAAGCACAAAUCCUCAUGGAGGCAUACGAGGAGGUAAAAGAUAUAAUUAAGAAGAAAGGCAACACCGCCACAGUGAUAAAGCAAAGAGAAAAAGCGUGGCAAAGUAUUGCAGACCGCCUGAAUGCGUAAGUAGUGCACAAUUACACACUCACCACUCCGCUGAAACAUCACAAUUACAAUUCAAAUAUUUAAUUCACAUCUCCAAAAAUGCAGUUGUACUGUAAUUAUGAAACGGUUAAAUUUUUAAUUGAAAUGCACUGCAGAUAUGAGUGAAAUUGUGUAAAGUAACUCCAUCACACUGUAUAAAGCUAUGAUAAAUUUUUUGAUAUUUUUACUGAAAACAAGACAAAAAUACCAAGUAAUUUUUUGCAGUGUGACUCCAUUAAAUGUGUGUGUGUGUGUGUGUGUGUGUGUGUGUGUGUGUGUGUGUGUGUGUGUGUGUGUGUAGAUUAAACAUGAACGGGCCAAAACGGACAUGGCAGCAGGUCAAAAUCAAAUACAAGAACAUUCUGCAGAAUGCAGUGAAAAAGAAUACCCACAGACAAGGCACGGGUGGUGGGUCACCAAAGGCUGACCUUACCCCAGCAGAGGACAUGGCCUUGGAGCUAAAUAAAGGCAGGCCCGUCUUAGAGGGGAUCCCUGGGGGGAAAGAGACGAGCAUAGGUUCCUCCCAAGAUGCCACCCGCUUCAUUCAAGUGCCUGGCAGCACUGUGUUCCUGUUAGAGCCACCAGCACAAGCACCAGACGAUGCUGAUCCAGGUGAAGGCCCCAGUGCAGCAGCAACAGCACAUGAUGGAGACGAUGAUGAGGAGGAGACCAUCUCUCUGGAUUCCAGAAGGCAUGAGGACCCAGAUGCUAUACAGUGGGAAAACCAGCCUGGCAACAUAGUGCGUAUUAAUAAAAGGACACCACAUCCUGCCAAAUUCCAGCUGCGCUAAUUGUAUUGUGUUCACAGAGCUCACAAGCUAUCAGAAAGUUGUAUGGCAACCACCUCCGGCGCCAAAUAGAACUGGCAGACAUAGACAUUCAGUACAAGAAGAAAAAGAUGGAAAAUCUUGCACUGGAGUCCGAAAUAAAAAAGAGGACAAUUAGGAAACUGGACCUUGAAAUAAAAAAACUUGAGAGGGAGCUCCAAGAAGAUGACACAGCUCAAAAAUAAAAAUUAGGUAUAUUCUCGUAAAGUCAAGUGAGCCAUGACAUAUGAGCUCUUAUUGUGAGCACACAGGACGGUGGCAUCUUUCUAAGGUUUUUUUUAUUUUCCCAGCAAUCAGUACAACCAAGUCAUCGUUAUAAGGCAUCGCCCUCUUUUGCCCACCCCCCCAGCACCAGGUGUGGCCACUAGCCUAUAUGAAGGCCCAAAAUUGUGUGUUCCUUUCUGCUCUGACAAUGGCAUGCCCAUUCGUGCGAGAUGUGGUGGAUGAAGAAGCACUUGUGCUGAGGAGAGCCUUCAGGCGAGAAAGGGUCUUCAGGGACCGGUUGGACCCACUGGCCUUCCCUGAUGACCAUCUAUAUGAAAGAUACAGGUUUUCUGCAGAUGGCAUCAGAUAUCUAUGCAGACUACUGGGUCCCAGGAUUAAGCACCGCACUGCACGGAGCCAUGCACUGAGUGUGGAGCAAAUGGUUUGUGUGGCCUUGCGCUUUUUUGCUAGUGGAGCCUUCCUGUACUCAGUGGGGGAUGCAGAACAGCUGAACAAGGCCACAAUUUGCCGCACAAUAAGGAGUGUGUGUCUGGCUAUCAAAGCAUUAGCAGAUGUCUUCAUCUCCUUCCCUGGCCACAGAAGACUCUGUGACAUCAAAGAGGAGUUCUAUAGGAUUGCAGAUGGUCUGCAAUGCUGACUGUGUGAUCAGCAAUGUUGUGGCAAAAUGGCCUGGCUCAGUCCAUGACUCCAGAAUCUUUCGGGCCUCUGAAAUCUAUCAGUGCCUAUC